rnacentral:lncRNA from 1 species
CGCAGGCUUCCAGGGUCAGGCCAUCGGACCUGGGACAGGGUUCUUUGAGGACAAGGGCAGGAGGGAAAUGAGGACAGGCCCAUGGGGAUGUCACAGGAGACGCUCCAUGCAGGGCCGAGUGGAUAGUAGUUGGGAGUGGGGGGUGAGGGAGCCCCGAGGAUCCACGGACCUGAACUGAAUCACCGAGAAGCUUCUGGACUUCUUUGAGCCUCCGUUUUGCCAUCUGUCAGGUGGGGUUACUCACCCUUGGAUUGGCACCCGCAGUGCAGGGGUAUCCAAACAAGUGAAGGGGAGGGACAGAGAGUUUAAUAUUUCAUAUUUUCACGUUUAUUUAUCGUGGGGGCGGGGAGGGGCAGAGAGCGGGAGAGAGAGUCAGAGAGAGAAUCCCAAGCAGGCUCUGUGCUGUCAGCACAGAGUCAGAUGUGAGGCUCGAACUCACGAACCACGAGAUCAUGACCCGGGCCGAAGUCUGACGCUUAACCGACUGAGCCACCCAGGCGCCCCGAGAGUCUAAUAUUUCAAAUAGAGUGGUGCCCCACAGUCAGCUGUGACAGGUGAGAAUUUCUUACACGCCCACGUGCUUAUUUUAAGGCUACCUUGUAGCACUUGGCUUGGCACAUAAUAGGUUCUCAAUAAAUGUUCCUGCUUCCCCCCGCCUGUCCUUCCUUCUCAGAGGUGACGUGGGAGGAGGCCAGGGAAAGACCAAGCUGAGCCUUCAGCUAGGGGUUCCGUGACAUUUUCUGGAGGACAAAAGCCACAUCCUCUGUGUUCUGCAUCCCUGGAAAUCACGCGCGUGGCCGUGGGCCUGGAGGGGCAGCUAUGAAGAGAGUGCUUGCCCUGGGGGACCCCGCGGGGACACUAAGUCAACAAGCAGAAAGAUCUGCUCCCUGCCAGCUGCAACGCUUGGAGGUGGGGCAGCCCUCUUGUGACCCUGAGGAUGAGAGCUUCCAGGUAUGGAUGGUAGAACAGGAGGCUUCAAGGAAUCCGGGUUCUUGACGACUUCCUCAAACAACUGCACCCGCCCCACCCUGCCUGCCUCCAGGAUUUCACGCUACGUGACACAAACAGACGCUUCUUCGGUUAGGUCGCUAGAGUUAGAUCGUGACACAUUACAGGUCAAGCCAACCUGAACGUUAGAAAGGACUCUGGAGGCUUGAAGAAGCAGGCGGAGAUUGAUGUUGUCAGCUGCGAUUGGGAACUGGUCUGGAAGAAGCAGUGUGGUCGGAAAAGAGCCAGCCCAACCUGGGGCCAAGCGGGGUCCUGGGAAAAUCUCUUAUCCGGCUCAGCUUCCGGAUCCCCAGCUGUAAGGUGGGAUUGGAAAGCCGAAUUUGUCAAGAAGACCAGACAUAACAGGUCCGUCACGUAAGCUAGCCGAUACAUGCUUCGGGGUCCCGAUGACUUAACGGAUUUCUUUUGGGGGUGUCAGGAAAGAGGACUCCAGCCUUGCUAGGGAUCGAAAGUCAAGGUUAGAGAGGCGGGCGCAAGAAGGGCGUUGCGGACCGUGGCCUGUGUGUCCCAGCCCAGAGGGGCCUCUCAGCCGCUCACGGGAUGAGGAAGACUGAGCCAGUGGUGGGGUCGGUGUGGAUCCCAAGGGAUGAGCUGGCCGGGGGCUGGGGGGCUGUUGCCCAGCACGAGUAUGUUGAGGGAGGAAUGACGCACAGACCAGACACAAAGAUGACUAAAUAUGGUGUGAUCGGACGUUUGUGGGCUCAUGCUUGAUAUUACUUUCGUGCAGCAACAUAAACCCUGAGGAGCAAGCACAUGAUGCUGAUCGGUAAUGUGUUUAUAACAGCUGUUGGGGAGGGAGGUGACUUGGAUUCAGGCUUUCCG